CCUACGGGAGGCAGCAGUGAGGAAUAUUGGUCAAUGGACGCAAGUCUGAACCAGCCAUGCCGCGUGCAGGAUGACGGCUCGAUGAGUUGUAAACUGCUUUUGUACGAGGGUAAACCCCGAUACGUGUAUCGGGUUGAAAGUAUCGUACGAAUAAGGAUCGGCUAACUCCGUGCCAGCAGCCGCGGUAAUACGGAGGAUCCGAGCGUUAUACGGCUUUAUUGGGGUUAAAGGGUGCGUAGGCGGUUUGCUAAGUUAGAGGUGAAAUGUCGGGGCUCAACCCCGCAACUGCCUCUCAUACUGUUGGACUAGUGCAUAGUUGCGGUAGGCGGACUGUCUGGUGUAGCGGUGAAAUGCUUAGAGAUCCUAC
rnacentral:rRNA from 1 species